UGGAGGGCAAGUCUGGUGCCAGCAGCCGCGGUAAUUCCAGCUCCAAUAGCGUAUAUUAAAGUUGUUGCAGUUAAAAAGCUCGUAGUUGAAUUUCGGRAUUAAUAUGCUGGUCGUGCCAUUGGUACGUACUAGUAUUAUUGAUUUCUCCCUUCUGAUGAAUCAUGAUGUCAUUAAUUUGAUGUCAUGRGGAAUCAGGACUGUUACUUUGAAAAAAUUAGAGUGUUUAAAGCAGGCUCGCGCUUGAAUACAUUAGCAUGGAAUAAUGAAAUAGGACGUUUGAUUCUAUUUUGUUGGUUUCUAGGAUUGACGUAAUGAUUAAUAGGGAUAGUUGGGGGCAUUAGUAUUCAAUUGUCAGAGGUGAAAUUCUUGGAUUUAUUGAAGACUAACUACUGCGAAAGCAUUUGCCAAGGAUGUUUUCAUUAAUCAAGAACGAAAGUUAGGGGAUCGAAGACGAUCAGAUACCGUCGUAGUCUUAACCAUAAACUAUGCCGACUAGGGAUCGGAUGAUGUUAAUUAUGACUCAUUCGGCGCCUUACGGGAAAC
rnacentral:rRNA from 1 species